UACAGUAGAAAUUGCCAGAACACUGCAAGUCAACUAUAAUGGAAGAAAUAAAAAUCUUAAAAAAAAAAAAAAGACCCUGUCAAUCUCUUCUUCACUUCAGGGCCCUUUAAUGUCCACCUUCUGGAAGUUUUAAGAUCACAAACUGCUGCUGUGUAGGCUCCUUAGAGUAGACUAGACAAGAGGUGAGCCUGGAGGUAUAUCAAGAGAGCACUGAAGUCCAGGCAAGAGAGUGUGGGCUUGGAUGACAGUAGUGGCAAUGCAGAUGGAGAUGAGAGAAUGUUCUUUCACCUGCUCUACCCGUAACUGAAUCCUACUUAUUUCUGAACCCCAGAAUACACAUUUCUUCUGUGCUCUUUCCUCACCCAUGAGCUGUAGCAGCACUCCACACUCUGUUUCUAAAAUAAUGCAUUGCUUAUUUCCUUAUUGGGACCCAACAACAUUUGUCACUGCUGGAUUUAUCAGUCUACUUUUUUUCACUAGAAUACAAGGUUCAAAAGGGGCAGUGAGUUUGUCUUCUGCAUUGUGUCUUACAGUGCUUAGCACAGGUGCUUUUCAUGUAAGAAGUUUGCGAUACAUAUUUAUGGAAAUAAAAUGAAGAGGUGUAGGGAGAGGUGACAGUGGUGGAGGGGAAAUUAAUUCAAAAGGCUAGAAUAAUUCCUGAGACACUGAAAUGGAAAUAACUUUAUUACUUUAAUGUUUUUUAUGGUUACCUAAGAGCCUCAUCUCGGAGAUUUCAAGACUUUGGUCAACCAUGAACUUAUGGGUCACUACUCUCACAUCCCCAAAUACCAGUGCUGUCUGUCUUCACUGAGGGUGCAGGUGCUCUCCUUCUGAGUCUAGAACUCACCAGUACUACUCUUUUAAUUUGAAAAAAUUGAAUAAGAUGCAUACAGAUAGCAAAAUAAAUAUGUGACAAUGAAUUGUCCCGGGCAAACACUUUUAGGUCAGUAACUAAACCAUUACAGCCACCACAGAAGCCCACUUAGAUCAGUCCCCUAUUCCAGCCACAGUUCCUGUCCUUUUUCCUACAGGUAAUUAAUAUCCCACGUUUCUAAACAGUUUUCAUCCAAAUGUGCAUCCAUUACAGUUUGGGACAUUUAAAAGGCUGGGAUAGGCCUUUUAAGUCUUUCAGUCUUAUAUCCUUUAAUCUGGAUGUUUCCCUGCCAUCUGUUUUCUUUUAUCUGUGGAAGAAUCUGGUCCGUUUGACCCACAUAGUUUUCCACAGUCUGGAUUUGCUGAUUGCAUAUUUAUGAAUAGUUCACCAAGUUCCUUCAAAUUGGUAGCUGGAUCUAGAGAUUGGCUUAAGACUCGGGCGUGAUUCCUUUGGUAAAUCUAUAGGAGGCAGAUAAACUCGUCUGGUCAUCUUUUUAUGAUGUAAGAAGUCAAUGAUGCUUAAGUGCCCACACCUAGUGAUUCAAUGGGGUUUGUCUGCAAAAUGGUCAUAUCCUAUUAUACCUUUUUAAUAGUUUGAAUACUUGUAUAAAGAUAAAAUUCCCCUCAUUGAUUACCCAGUGAUAAAGAUCAUAUUGUGAUUCUUUUAUUUACUGCUUUAAAAUUAGCUAUCUGUAAUUAAGAACUCAUGGAUUUUAACAUAUUUGAUGUAUCUCGAAGCCAUUACAAAUAUUACUUAUAUUCAAUUUUGAUCCAACUUUGGCCACUGAGUCUCAAGUGGGUUCAUUUUUUUCUGACAUGACUCUAUAAGUUGGUAAUUUCCUUGUUAUCCAUUAGAACAGUAUGUUCUAGAGUCGUCUUAAACAUUUCCUACCCAGACCAAGACUCAGCCAUUACUCCAGAAGCUUUUCUUAUUUUAGUGAAACAUUGUAUUUCGAAGCUGUAUCUGGAAUUAUCACUGGUAGUGGCUUUGUUAUCAUUUCUAAACCUGUUCAGUGGAUAGGAGCUGGUGGACGUUUGAAAGUCAUGAGAAGAGCUCAGAAUUGCUCUCUGUAUAUGGACUGUAAUAAAGUUUUUCAGCCCUUGCUGUCCUUAAAUUUCCAAGGAUCACUCUCUAUAGGAAAGGCCAUCAGUUUUGCCUUCUGAGCCCAAAUCUGGUCUUGGUGAUAGAUGUUCUAACGACCAAAAUUCUUCUAUUGCAGCUUUGGUUAAAAAGAGCAUCACUGAAGUUCCCCAGUUGCCUAGUGGUUAAGGAUUUGGGGUUGUCACUGCUGUGGCUCUGGUUUCACCCCUGGCCUGGCAACUUUCACGAUGCCAUGGGCGCAGCUUAAAACAAACAACAACAAAAAAACAAAACCCCCACAAACAACCAAAAAACAACCAUACACACACAAAUACCACUCCUUCACUUUCUGUUCUCAGUUGCCACAUGGUUGCCACAUAGGCACUCAUGUGGGAGCUGUGUGAUGAGGUCAUCCCGAUAUAUAACGGGCAUCCUCAGAGACUGUCACCUGGUUUUAUGCUACAAAACAUUACCUCCCACUGGCCCCUGUGCUCCUUUUCCUGCCACCCCUCAAAUGCUUUCCCAGCUGUUCUCCUGGACCCAUGUCAUGUUCUAAGAUUUCUUGGACUAUUGAAGCCUCCAUGUACUUCAGCUUUUGCAUCUGUGAAAUGGAUAAAAUGGUACCCACCUCAUUAAGUAUUGGGAUUUAAAUGAAUUGCUACCUAUAAUUAGGCUUAGAAAGUCCUCAAUACACAUCAGCUUUUAUUUUUAUUCUAGACCAAUAGUUCCCAAGCUGGCUCCACAUGAAGAACGUAUGAGGAGGCUUUUAAAAGAAAAUAGGGAUGCUUUGUCCAUGCCUCUAGGGAUUCUGACUUCAGCGGUCAGUCAGCAAUUGACGUUUUUCAAGUUCUCAAGGUGAAUCUGGAAGAGGAGGUGGUGAUUCUCCCUGGCAAACUGCCACCCCUGUUAUUCCCUUCCAGGUCAAUGUGAGGUGAGAUACUCCUGUGACAUUUUGAUAAGUUCUUGCUGACUCCACAUCAAGCUGGGUUCUGUUACUUAAAACCAAGGAGGAGGCCUAAUGAAUGCAGCAGGCAUUUGUAAGAAAUUGGGUAAAGUUUGAUCAUAGGCAACUCUGGAACUGAAGAGGCUUCCCUACCUUCAACACUCACUUUUUGGGGACCACAUGCAUUGAGGUAAUGAAGUAUGCCAAUGCUGUCCCCAUCUUAGACACCCAGCUCCAGCUACUGUAUUACUAUACACGAUGCAUUCUUAAUCACAGUAACUCAAAUUUAAGGGGAAAAAAUAUCACAAAAUGUUCCCCCAUCUUUGAAACCAACUACUGCAGCUGCUAACAGAAGCAUCUAUGUAGAUUGUGUUUGUCUUUCUGGAGAAGACCAAGAAUUAUUAAAAGAGCAGCCAGCUGCUUAUAGUAGGAGGAUGGGAAGAGUUUGUCAGCAUCCACACUGCUCUCCUUCCUUAGCUGAAUCCCUACCAUCUUCCUCUUUAUCCCUUUUUUGCUCUCACUGUUUUAGUUCAGGAAAGUAGGGGGCAUCCCCCUGCCCUUGUGCCUCUCCCUCUGGGAAGACAGAGCAACCCCACCCUUCAUCUGUGCUCAACCAAUGAGAGACUUUGAGCUAGGCUGAUAGUUGAUCGGCUCCUUGACUCAUGAAUUCAAGUCUCCCUUUCUUUCACGCCAUGUUCCAAUAGGGUUAUUUGCACAACAACUUUGCACAGUGGAGAUAAUGAGUCUACCUCAUGAGGAUGCUAUGAUGAUUCAAUGUGAGAGGACCAUGGGUUUCAAAACUGGCUGCACAUUGGUAUUGCUGGAAAAUUUCAAAACUCCCAGUACUGAGCAGCACCCAGAUUGUUCAAUCAGAAUUUCUGGUGGUGGGAACCAUCCAUUAGCAUUUGAAAAACUUCCCUGAUAAUUACGACCUGGGCCACACAUCAGAGCCAGUGAGAUAGCACUUGUUUAUAAGCACUCAGUAGAUGGUAACUGCUUUUAUUAUAAAAAUUGAGCAAGAAUUCCCCCAGGUUAACAGACUGCUGAAAUUGAAGGCUCAGUAGGACCCAGAUUCAUUUCUCCUUUAAUUCAUCCAUCUAAGAAUAACCUGCCAGGCUCUGUGCUUAAUUCCACCUUCCCACUUGAAAGGAAAAAGAUCAUGUGGUCUUAAAAUGAAAUUCACAUUCUCUAGGCCAACUUGGCCUCCCUCACCACCACGUGUGUUAUUGCCUGACAGUGCCAUCGCUCACAGGCUGGUCAGCUCCAGCUGCCCUCAGGUACAUUAACCUCCCUCAUGCUGUGCCUCUCUGCGUACUCUUCCUCUUGCUUAGGAUGCCAACCCCCAUGCUUCUUGCCUUUUCUCUUGGCCUUUCUCGUAGGGUGGAAUUCCCAGUACAGAAUCUGAAGGACAGUUGGGUGGCCCCCACCCAUCCCCUCUGAUGGGCAAGCUGGUGGCUGUCCUCUCAUUUCCAGGGUUCUGUGAGUGCCCUGCAGGGCUGAAUGAUGAGGUCUUCUCUCUGUGGAAGGGCUGUACCAGUCUCUCCCUGCUCUCCUUCAGGCCUCACUCUGGCAAAAGACUGUGCAGGCCCAGGCAGGCUUGCUUUCCUAUAUUGCUUAACCAGUUCUGUUGCUCUAAGACCCUCAUGGAGCUGCUCCCCAGGACUCCUCUCAGAGGGAGAUUUUCCUCUGGAAUCACCUGAGGGAGCAGGGCAGCUCAGAGCCCCCCACUCGCAAGGGCCUGAGGCCUGCAGGCUGUACUAUCUGCAGCCACUACAUGAAAUCUCCUGAGGUUGGCAGUCUUAGGGGAGUAAUACGACUUUAUUAUCAUAUAUUGUCCCUGAAGACUGUUCCCCAAAGGGGAGAGUCUCUUGUGCGUCUACAGUAUAGGCACCUAAUAUAAUGAAAAGGGCAAGGGGCUAUGAGCUGUGAUAACCAAUUCUGCUGAAGUAAGGACUUCUGUUUGAGUUUUGUAACCCUUUCCCUGCCAUUUGUUGACCUCCAGCAUGGCCCUGCUUGGCAAGGUUCCUGGGCUUUCUCUCCAUUUCUGAAUCUGUCAGAAAGUGGUCCAAGGGCAUAGACUUGCUUGUCCUGUCACUGGGCCAAGAGAGCUCUUUCUAGAAGAGCUGACCAGGAAGACCUUCCUCAGUGUUUCAAGUCUGUACAUGUGUGCAUGCGUGUGCGUGUAUGCACAAACACACACACACAGUCUUGAUUUUGGCUCUUCUAGCCCAAGGCUGUGCCGCUAGGUAACAGCAUCAUCUUUCCAAACAGGUGUGGGGGAUCACUUCCCUCUGUUCAUCCUUCAAGAUUCAUAUACUACUGGGCACUGGGAAGGAGAAAUUCUAAACGUUAUCUCACUUAAACUUUGGCAAAAACCUUACGUAAUUGGUGUAGUUAUUAUCCCCAUUUUACAACAGAGGAAACAUUCUUCCAAAGGUCAUGUGCUUGGAAUAUGGUUAGCUUUUGUUAUGUUACAAACCAUUCCCAAAGUUAGUGGUUUAGAACCAUCGCAUCUAUUUAGCUCACAAGUCUAGAUUGUUUGGCUAUCAGUUAGAGUGUUGGGAUUAGGGCACAGCUCAUUGCAUGAUCUCUUUCAUCCUCCAGCAGGAUAGCUGGGGCUUGAUCACAUGGCAGACUGAUAGGAUUCUAAGAGGAAGAAUGCAGGCAAGGCCUACUUAGACAUGGAACUCUAUGGUCACUUUUGCUGUAAUCUACUGAACAAAGUGAGGCACGUGUCCUGCCUAAAUUCAAGGAAUGGUGGAAAAAACCCUGCUUAUUGGUGGGAGGAGCUGCAAGGUCAUACUGCAAAGGGUCAUGAACACGGGGAGGGGGGUGGGGUGGAGUCAUGUCUGUUUCUGCACUUUACUGCAGUUAACUGAUGGGUAGGAUUGUAAUUUUCAGUUAUGAAAAUAGCAUAUGCACAAGAGAAAAUUCUGAACAGUAAACAAAAGGGAAAAUGAGGAAAAGAGUCAUUCCUAGACUAGAGCUAGGAAAAUACUUUAUCGUCUAGUCCCACUCUCCACAUGUAAACACAGUUGAGCGUCUGCAUAUCUAGAUAAAAUUUUUUCCUGCAUAUAUGCAGAUGGUAGUCCAACAUACAUUUUCCUGCACUUUUCCUUUUUACUUAGUAAUGUACUUAGUUCCAUAGCAGCACCAACUAAAAAUGUGCUAUUCCUUCUAAGGCCUACAGAAUAAUCCAUUGAAUAAAUGUAACAUGUUUAUUUAACCACAUCUCCUACUGGUGGGACAGUCCUCCCACCCCUAGUUUGUGUUACAAAUAAUGCUGCAAAGGCUAUCCUUAAAUAUCCUUCUGUGUAUACUUGUAGACUAGAUUCCUGCAAGUGAAAUUUCUAGGUUUUACAUCAGAGUUGAGUCUUGACCUGUUCCCAAAGCACAUGAACUUUAUAAGAUGUGUGUCUCAUUACUAACUGUUCCUCUAGUUUUCUGUAACUAGAAGCUACCUUAGGAACCAUGGCCCCCUAUGCACCUAUGUGACGAUGCUCAUGACCUCUGCAUACCCUUCCUAAGCAGGUUCAAGAAGUCCUGAACUAUGCAUUAAGUUCUUCCAAGAAGAUCUGGAUGAGUUAUCUUUUCUAUGUUUUCCUUCAUGCUAUUUUUGAGAGACCUGUAUUACUUUGUUAUAGACAAAUGAUAAAACAAUCUUGGUAAGAAAUGUUAACAUACAAAUGAUAGGUUCCAUCCAAGUGAAAGUCUAACCUAUAAAUGAAGGUUUCACAAAUACUACAGACAGGUGGUAAAAGAAGCUGAAUCAUCACACAGUACCAUAAGCUUUGUCAUAUUGAACAGUUUGAGUCUAUGAAUUUCAUCCUUGUUAACGGCAACUUUAACAGUUCAUGAAUAUUGAGUAGUAUAAAUAUAUGCAAAGAUUUUUUUCAUUUUUAAUAUUGUUUUUGGGUUCCUUCAUAGAUUGAUGCCCACUCAUCACUUGCCUGGAUGUUAGCUGGAGUCCUGAAUUGUUACCAGAGAAGAAGAAUUGGAAGAGAGAAGUUUCUCUAUGGGCAGCUCAAGAACCUUCUCCGUCCCCCUGCAGAAACAGGAAGAAGAUACAGGAAAGAACCCUACUUAAUUGUUAGAAUAGGCCAGCAUCUUUAGAUUUAGCGUUACUUUAGAAAAAUAACAUUUUCCCUUCUUGGGAAACCCCCUUUUGCCUUAGGUGCCUGCAUGUUUCCAGAAGCCCCUGUUUUUCCGAAGACCUCCCCCCUCAACCGCCCAGCAGCCCUUUCUUUCCUGAGCGAGCGCAGGCGCACUCACUACUUCCUGCGCUCUGGAGUUUGCAUGCAUGGGCUUCAAUUUAUCUUCUUUCUGUGGAACAAGCAACACCUGGUCUAUCAUCAGUGGCUCCUGAUAAUUUUCUCUCCUGGGUCUCACAGAGGCUGACCUUCUCUCUGACCCUCCUAGAGGAUCACUCUGCAGUGGUGGCAGGAGGCGGUGCUGUUUGGGGCUCUCUCAUGCUUUAACCCAGCUCCUGCCCAUGACCCAGUGUGUUCAGUGAACUCCUCGUCCUCGAGGAAAGGAUACAAGGUGUGAUAACAUCUUAGAUCAGGCCUCGGACAACAUUCAUUUCAGAAAACAUUCCUCAUCCAGGAUGCUAAAAUCGCUCGGGGCAAUCCUGGAAGGCAUUUGUUGGGGGGAAGUUGGUCAGAGGUGGCCCAAGGGAAACAUGUUAGUAUUAGACUUAAGGGGACUGGAGCGGCAGUCGUCUGGCCUUGAGAGGUCAGAGAGCAUAUUGGUAACACCUGUGUCAGUCACACUCUUUAGGUAGGGGUGGGGGAGUCUGCGGGAGGGGAAGGGGGCUCACUGGUGUUGGGCUGCCCAGCCUCCCUAAUGACUGCCUUUUCCUCCUUAACUUUGCUUGUCUUGCCCCUUCCUACCUCAGGCACCCCUUCUUUCCUCUUCAUGCUGGUCAAAAUUUUCCUCCUUUCACACUAAGGUAUAUAUGACUACUAAUAAAUAGCAGAGGGAGGUGAUGUCUAAGAGUUUUCUCCCAGCUGCUCUUUCAAGAUAAUUGUUUACAGUUAUCAAGAGAUAGGAUCAAGAACCCUCACAUAUCCAUCACCCACCCUCAACAACCAUCAACUCAUUGCCAGUACCACCAAGUCUUUGGGAACAGAGCCUGGAACUCACUCUCCUUGGCAAGAGUAAGUGCUCAGGCCUUUAUCUGGCAUGUUGCAGCCGCUGACCACCCAGGGUUAAGUGCGUGAAUAAAUGUAAGGCACUCUCCCCGGUCAUUUGCAGAGACUUCCAGGCUGGACUCUUCCUAGAGGCAGUUACAAUUUCCACUGGGACCAGGGCCCUAGGCUAUGCAGGAUGCUCAAUCUUUUUUCCAAGCAACAUUGCUGUGGCUCAUGAAGAGCUUGCUAUGGCUCUCACCUGGUGGAGGAGAUGGUGUGUGUGUUGGAGAGGCUGGAGAGGAUAGCUGGCGGUGGGGCUGGGUUUUACAAGUGUGGUUUGAAAAAAACCCCAGCCCUUUAGGUGAAGCCUCUUCUUUGAGAAGGACUGAGCUGGAGAGAUAAGGCCCUAAAAUGAAAUUCUAGGCAAUAGUCUGGGGAUGGAGGGGGAAUUUGAGGAUGUUGGGGACAGGAUCUUCCCCUCACCUCCUAGACUCUUGUAAAGGAUGAUGGGAAUGAAUAGCAUUACUUUCCUUGUGGAAAACAUUUUUCUUCUCCUUUUCCCUUGAAGUCCAGUGCAACUGCUAUGGGAAUGGAUUAUGUGUGUGAGCAAGCUCCUGAGAGGAGACAGGAAAGCUGCAAUGUUUACAACCUUCCAUGACCUGAUUCCAUUUCAAGGACAUGGGUCAUUAGCGGCUGGCAGCAGACAGAGCUUGUAUGCAUAAUUUCCAAGAGCUUCGUUACCACACUUGGGCAUAACUUUAUUUUUUGUCUCUGAGGUGACUGUUAUUAUUUACUGGAAAUUCCAUUAAUAAAUCCCAGCAGCCAAAGCUUUUCUUUUUUUCCCUACACAAUUCUCAAUAAUUAGAAGAUGCUAUUACUUGCUAUCUGGCCAUAGCCUAACCAAUGACCUAACGUAAGACUUUUCUUAUCACAGUUCUCUAGUAUUCUGGCUUAUGAGCAGCAAACCUUCCACUCUGUGACUCUGCGCAUCAUGGUUUGCGAUCUAAAACACUUAUGGCCAUAGGUGAUACACCUCAGAUACUUUUUGGCUGUUGCAGCAAAGACUACUCACGAAACAAAAAACAAGGUCCUAAUACCCAGUUCUACAGCUUAGUAGUAUCACCCCAGGAAAGUAACACUGCUGAUUUAGUCCUCAUUUCCUCAUUUAUGGACUUGUCUAAAACAUAUUUGGUUUUCUCUUGCAGGCCACUGGGACUGAUAGGUAGUGGCUGCCUGGAGUGCUUGGCUGAAAAAAUACAAUGGGGAAUGGUUUUGUGAUUGAUUGUUGAUGUCUGUGGUGGGUGAGGGAGCUUGAAUGCCAUAAUUUCCCAGGUAUUGCUAAUUCUGGGUUG